rnacentral:rRNA from 1 species
GAUGAACGCUGGCGGCGUGCCUAAUACAUGCAAGUCGAGCGAACGGACGAGAAGCUUGCUUCUCUGAUGUUAGCGGCGGACGGGUGAGUAACACGUGGAUAACCUACCUAUAAGACUGGGAUAACUUCGGGAAACCGGAGCUAAUACCGGAUAAUAUUUUGAACCGCAUGGUUCAAAAGUGAAAGACGGUCUUGCUGUCACUUAUAGAUGGAUCCGUGCUGCAUUAGCUAGUUGGUAAGGUAACGGCUUACCAAGGCAACGAUGCAUAGCCGACCUGAGAGGAUGAUCGGCCACACUGGAACUGAGCCUCGGUCCCGACUCCUACGGGAGGCAGCAGUAGGAAAUCUUCCGCAAUGGGCGAAAGCCUGACGGAGCAACGCCGCGUGAGUGAUGAAGGUCUUCGGAUCGUAAAACUCUGUUAUUAGGGAAGAACAUAUGUGUAAGUAACUGUGCACAUCUUGACGGUACCUCAUCAGAAAGCCACGGCUAACUACGUG